GUGCUGUAAGCUUUUUAUUUGGAUCAGUGUUUUCAUGGCCUCUGCACAACAUCCUGUUUUGGGAUAAAGGUUGGACACAGGUUUGAAGGGGACCCAAUCAAUCAAUCAAUCAGUCAGUCAGUCAGUCAGUCAGUCAGUCUUUUGAUUACACUAUUUAAAUAGCCCCCAUUUGGGGUCAGCUUUCGCUUACGGCCAUACCACUCUGAAAAAGCCUGAUCUCAUCUGACCUCGGAAGCAAAGCAGAGUUGGGCCUGGUUAGUACUUGGUUGGGAGACUGAAUGGGAAUACUAGGUGCUGUAAGCUUUUUAUUUGGAUCAGUGUUUUCAUGGCCUCUGCACAACAUCCUGUUUUGGGAUAAAGGUUGGACACAGGUUUGAAGGGGACCCAAUCAAUCAAUCAUCAAUCAAUCAGUCAGUCAGUCAGUCAGUCAGUCAGUCAGUCUUUUGAUUACACUAUUUAAAUAGCCCCCAUUUGGGGUCAGCUUUCGCUUACGGCCAUACCACUCUGAAAAAGCCUGAUCUCAUCUGACCUCGGAAGCAAAGCAGAGUUGGGCCUGGUUAGUACUUGGUUGGGAGACUGAAUGGGAAUACUAGGUGCUGUAAGCUUUUUAUUUGGAUCAGUGUUUUCAUGGCCUCUGCACAACAUCCUGUUUUGGGAUAAAGGUUGGACACAGGUUUGAAGGGGACCCAAUCAAUCAAUCAAUCAAUCAGUCAGUCAGUCAGUCAGUCAGUCAGUCUUUUGAUUACACUAUUUAAAUAGCCCCAUUUGGGGUCAGCUUUCGCUUACGGCCAUACCACUCUGAAAAAGCCUGAUCUCAUCUGACCUCGGAAGCAAAGCAGAGUUGGGCCUGGUUAGUACUUGGUUGGGAGACUGAAUGGGAAUACUAGGUGCUGUAAGCUUUUUAUUUGGAUCAGUGUUUCAUGGCCUCUGC
ensembl:lncRNA